rnacentral:rRNA from 1 species
AUACGAGGUGCAAGCGUUAUUCGGAAUUACUGGGCGUAAAGCGCGUGCAGGCGGCGAGCAAGUCUGAUGUGAAAGCCCCGGGCUUAACCUGGGAAGUGCAUUGGAAACGGUUCGUCUUGAGUUCUGGAGAGGAUGGGGGAAUUCCCGGUGUAGAGGUGAAAUUCGUAGAGAUCGGGAGGAAUACCAGUGGCGAAGGCGCCCAUCUGGACAGUAACUGACGCUGAGACGCGAAAGCGUGGGGAGC